rnacentral:sRNA from 1 species
CGAGCUCCUAUUGCGAUUAAAACGAGAAUGGAGUAUUAAAGUUUGUCUUGGAAUACUCCAGAAAGACUUUCCUGCUGAAUGUUUAUCCACGAAGUUGUUUUAAUGCGCGUAUUUAGUCAAAUGAAAAAAUGUAUGCGGGGCGGGAAAAAAAAUCUGCAGAAAUGUGGUACAAAUGAAUUUUGAUGAUAUAAUUUAUUUUUUAGUUGCAGACAAAUCUGACUUAGAAGGCUGGAAUUAACGCCAAAUACGUAAAACUGAACAAAUGAGAUAGAUAAAAUGAAUAUGUUAACAGUAUGCCACUAAAAUUAAUGGACUGUACAAAUUAUCGUUUUUGUCAACACUUCAUUGUGUAGAUAAAAUGUCUUUAUAUGCAUCCUCUCCUUUGAAAAUCAGAUUUUUGUUUGCCUGUAUCUAUGGCUCCAUUAUAUUGAAACAUAAUAAAACGUAAUGAGAUCGAUUGAUAAUGAACGGUAAAAAUUGUAUGGAGCUUUCAUCGCCUACACAAGAGUUGGAGAACAUUCAUAACCAGUACAUGUUUCAAAUUCUAAAUUGUUCAUUUCUUUUCUAUUUAUUAAUUAACAGUAACGUGCAGAAGUUGUCAAAUUUGAAUAGGAAUACCUUGGAUAUAUGCAAAGAGAGAUAAGAUCAUAAGACAUUUAAUAUUUGUUCUCCUUAAACCUGACUUUUGAAUGAAAUGUUUCUUUACAUUCUUUACACUAAACAAUAAAUCAUGCAGAUUU